UGAGGAAUUUUGGACAAUGGGGGAAACCCUGAUCCAGCGACGCCGCGUGAAGGAUGAAGGUCUUCGGAUUGUAAACUUCUUUUAUUCGGGAAUAAGAAACCCGUGGAAACACGGGGAGUGAAUGUACCGAAUGAAUAAGCCACGGCUAACUUCGUGCCAGCAGCCGCGGUAAUACGAAGGUGGCAAGCGUUACUCGGAAUUACUAGGCGUAAAGGGCAGGUAGGUGGUCUGAUAAGUCUGUUGUGAAAGCUCCUGGCUCAACUGGGAGAGGCCAACGGAAACUAUCAGGCUGGAGUGUGGGAGAGGGUACUGGAAUUCCCGGUGUAGCGGUGAAAUGCGCAGAGAUCGGGAGGAACACCUAUGGCGAAAGCAGGUACCUGGACCACUACUGACACUCAGCUGCGAAAGCUAGGGGAGCAAACAGG
rnacentral:rRNA from 1 species